AGAGUUUGAUCCUGGCUCAGGACGAACGCUGGCGGCGUGCCUAAUACAUGCAAGUCGAGCGAUUUCCACCUUCGGGUGGGAGUAGCGGCGGACGGGUGAGUAACACGUAGGUAACCUACCACUAAGACUGGGAUAACUACCGGAAACGGUAGCUAAGACCGGAUACGCCUGCGGGGAGGCAUCUCCCUGCAGGGAAAAGCGGAGCAAUCUGCUGCUUACUGAUGGGCCUGCGGCGCAUUAGCUAGUUGGUGAGGUAGAGGCUCACCAAGGCGACGAUGCGUAGCCGACCUGAGAGGGUGAACGGCCACACUGGGACUGAGACACGGCCCAGACUCCUACGGGAGGCAGCAGUAGGGAAUCUUCGGCAAUGGACGAAAGUCUGACCGAGCAACGCCGCGUGAGUGAUGAAGGUUUUCGGAUCGUAAAACUCUGUUACCAGGGAAGAAAGGCCAGGCGAGUAACUGCGCUUGGAUUGACGGUACCUGAGAA
rnacentral:rRNA from 1 species